rnacentral:rRNA from 1 species
UACGUAGGGUGCGAGCGUUAAUCGGAAUUAUUGGGCGUAAAGGGCGCGUAGGCGGUGCGGUAAGUCACCUGUGAAAUCUCCUGGCUCAACUGGGAGCUUGCAGGCGAAACUGCCGUGCUGGAGUGUGGGAGAGGUGCGUGGAAUUCCUGGUGUAGCGGUGAAAUGCGUAGAUAUCAGGAGGAACACCUGUGGCGAAAGCGGCGCACUGGACCACAACUGACGCUGAGGCGCGAAAGCUAGGGGAGCAAACAGG